GCCUCUAGGUGUAAUGAUAACGCCCCCGUUGUUCCGAGAGCCUCAUUUGCAUAUAUUAAAACAUCAUUUUCCUCAGCAAUGCGGGCACAUAUGAACAUGGGACCAACACAGAUGCCUUCAGCCGCCAAGUGCAGAUGUAACAGCACCUAAAGGUAUAAAGGGG